AGAGUUUGAUCCUGGCUCAGGAUGAACGCUGGCGGCGUGCUUAACACAUGCAAGUCGAACGAUUAACCCGCCCUCGGGCGGUUAUAGAGUGGCGAACGGGUGAGUAACACGUGACCAACCUGCCCCUUGCUCCGGGACAACCCAGGGAAACCUCGGCUAAUACCGGAUACUCCGCGCAGCCCGCAUGGGAGGCGCGGGAAAGCCCAGACGGCAAGGGAUGGGGUCGCGGCCCAUUAGGUAGACGGCGGGGUAACGGCCCACCGUGCCCGCGAUGGGUAGCCGGGUUGAGAGACCGAUCGGCCACAUUGGGACUGAGAUACGGCCCAGACUCCUACGGGAGGCAGCAGUGGGGAAUUUUGCGCAAUGGGGGAAACCCUGACGCAGCAACGCCGCGUGCGGGACGAAGGCCUUCGGGUUGUAAACCGCUUUCAGCAGGGAAUAUAGUGAAGGUACCUGCAGAAGAAGCUCCGGCUAACUACGUGCCAGCAGCCGCGGUAAUACGUAGGGAGCGAGCGUUAUCCGGAUUCAUUGGGCGUAAAGCGCGCGUAGGCGGCCCGUCAAGCGGGGUUUCAAAUCCAGGGGCUCAACCUCUGGCCGGACCCCGAACUGGCGGGCUCGAGUGCGGUAGAGGAAGGUGGAAUUCCCAGUGUAGCGGUGAAAUGCGCAGAUAUUGGGAAGAACACCGAUGGCGAAGGCAGCCUUCUGGGCCGCCACUGACGCUGAGGCGCGAAAGCUGGGGGAGCGAACAGGAUUAGAUACCCUGGUAGUCCCAGCCGUAAACGAUGGACGCUAGGUGUGGGGGGACGAUCCCCCCGUGCCGCAGCCAACGCAUUAAGCGUCCCGCCUGGGGAGUACGGCCGCAAGGCUAAAACUCAAAGGAAUUGACGGGGGCCCGCACAAGCAGCGGAGCAUGUGGCUUAAUUCGAAGCAACGCGAAGAACCUUACCAGGGCUUGACAUGCAGGUGAAGCGGCGGAAACGCCGUGGCCGAGAGGAGCCUGCGCAGGUGGUGCAUGGCUGUCGUCAGCUCGUGUCGUGAGAUGUUGGGUUAAGUCCCGCAACG
rnacentral:rRNA from 1 species